rnacentral:rRNA from 1 species
GAUGAACGCUGGCGGCGUGCCUAAUACAUGCAAGUCGAGCGAACGGACGAGAAGCUUGCUUCUCUGAUGUUAGCGGCGGACGGGUGAGUAACACGUGGAUAACCUACCUAUAAGACUGGGAUAACUUCGGGAAACCGGAGCUAAUACCGGAUGAUAUUUUGAACCGCAUGGUUCAAAAGUGAAAGACGGUCUUGCUGUCACUUAUCGAUGGAUCCGCGCUGCAUUAGCUAGUUGGUAAGGUAACGGCUUACCAAGGCAACGAUGCAUAGCCGACCUGAGAGGGUGAUCGGCCACACUGGAACUGAGACACGGUCCAGACUCCUACGGGAGGCAGCAGUAGGGAAUCUUCCGCAAUGGGCGAAAGCCUGACGGAGCAACGCCGCGUGAGUGAUGAAGGUCUUCGGAUCGUAAAACUCUGUUAUUAGGGAAGAACAUAUGUGUAAGUAACUGUGCACAUCUUGACGGUACCUAAUCAGAAAGCCACGGAUAACUACGUG